rnacentral:tRNA from 1 species
GCCUGGGUGGCUCAGUCGGUUGAGCAUCCGACUUCGGCUCAGGUCAUGAUCUCACGGUCUGUGAGUUCGAGCCCCACAUCGGGCU